UCUCCUGUAGCUCAGUGGUAGAGCGUGCUGACCAGUGUGCGGAAGAUCGUAGGUUCAACUCCUGUUGAAGAA